CUCUCUCCCCCCCUCCCGGCCGGCGCACUCGCUAGCGCGCUCGCUCGCUCGCUCUGCCGCUACCCGACGAGUCCUCAACAAGUUGGAGUAAGGCAGGAACGCAGGGGUUAAGCUCGGAAAGCCGCAAUUACCAAGAUCGUGACCCUCCCACACAGUACUGUAACUUAUAUACUUACCUGGAAGAGCCUGCUUUGCCACUGGGCCAACACCCGUGGGGGGCGGGGAAGGGCGGGAGGGGAGCGGACCGGUUGGAGAGGGGCUCCUUCAAGCUGGCUGCAGUGCGGACUGGACCGGCGCGCCCCCGCGGCCUCGGGACCAGGUGAUCAAAAGUGCCCUGACACCCAGAGGUCUGCGUGAGGGGCGGCCACCAAAGGAAGGGGUCUCAGGCCACAGGAGCUGAAGAGUCUGGACAGAUGAACUCUGGAGUCUCAGGAAAAUAAAAGUUUUAUCUCCUGAGGAACCUUGAAGAUUCUUUUAAAGGUGAAACGUUUCGUCUUUCGAAUUGCACACCUUCUCAUCUGAGCUUAAAGGAGACGUUAAGUGUGAUAUUUUGAACUAUGUUUAAAUGAAGAUGAGAUAGAAGACAAUAGAACUGUUAGAAAUAUGUAAGUUUUAUUGUACAGCCAAAUAAGGAUUCAGCUGUUGUAGUGUGUUCUUUAAGAUUCCUAGUUUCUAUGUAAUUCUCUAAUUUUGUUUCAUUCUAUUGAACUACUCCUGAUUUCACCCUGAAAAUCUGACCUGAAACUCAAUUACAGAAAUACUGCCAAUGAAUUUAAAAUCAAAUGGGAACAUUUGUAUAUGAAUACGAUACAAUAUUGUUGAUUCACAUUUCUUUCCAUAUUAAAGACUAUUCUGAACUCUAAAUCUUUUAAAUAAAUGAGACUGAAAUCC
rnacentral:lncRNA from 9 species